rnacentral:rRNA from 1 species
CCUACGGGAGGCAGCAGUGGGGAAUAUUGGACAAUGGACGAAAGCCUGAUCCAGCAAUGCCGCGUGAGUGAUGAAGGCCUUAGGGUUGUAAAGCUCUUUUACCAGGGAUGAUAAUGACAGUACCUGGAGAAUAAGCUCCGGCUAACUCCGUGCCAGCAGCCGCGGUAAUACGGAGGGAGCUAGCGUUGUUCGGAAUUACUGGGCGUAAAGCGCGCGUAGGCGGCGAUUCAAGUCAGAGGUGAAAGCCCGGGGCUCAACCCCGGAACUGCCUUUGAAACUAGAUUGCUAGAAUCUUGGAGAGGUCAGUGGAAUUCCGAGUGUAGAGGUGAAAUUCGUAGAUAUUCGGAAGAACACCAGUGGCGAAGGCGACUGACUGGACAAGUAUUGACGCUGAGGUGCGAAAGCGUGGGGAGCAAACAGGAUUAGAUGCCCUGGUAGUCCACGCCGUAAACGAUGAUAACUAGCUGUCCGGGCACUUGGUGCUUGGGUGGCGCNGCUACGCAUUAAGUUAUCCGCCGUGGGAGGUACGGUCGCGAGAAUUAAACUACAAAUAGAAGUUAGUACGGCGUGAGACGUGCCGACGGACGACGACGAGGGAGGUUAGG